rnacentral:lncRNA from 1 species
AGGCGGGCACACAGUAAACUUGGUCAGUGUUUGGUGGGAUGGCCAGUGGAUACAGACUCCCCACAUCCCCAGGGUCUCAGGAUUUCCCGCAAUCCUGUCUUCGUUGCUCUUCUGCCCUCUGCUAGAUGCUAUUUGUGGAGCCACCUCGGUGGGGACUUUGGCCAGGAUGGAAGGCUCCAGAGGGAACGUAUGGUGCCUUCAUCUGAGCCCUGGUGUCAGUCUCUCUGGCCCCCUCAUUCUAAUGCUGUUCUACUGCCCACAAUUUUGGCACCAGGGUGGUCCACUUUCAGCUGGAGUGAGGCCAGGCUAAAGAAGAUCCACCCAGAAGUCUCCAUCUACCCAGACAAAGGUUGUUUAUGGAACCACAGAGAACAGUCCUGUGACCUUCAUGAACUUUCCCGAGGACACCCUGGAGCAGAAGGCUGGAAGUGUAGGCAGAAUUAUGCCUCACACGGAGGCCCAGAUCGUGAACAUGGAGACCGGGGAGCUGACCAAGCUGAACAUGCCUGGAGAGCUGUGCAUCCGAGGGUACUGCGUCAUGCAGGGCUACUGGGGCGAGCCACAGAAGACCUUCGAAACGGUUGGGCAAGACAGAUGGUAUCGGACAGG